GGGCCUGUGGUUCAAUGGUAGAAUACAUGGCUGGCAGUCAUGGGACUCGAGUUCGAUUCUCGGCAGGUCCA
rnacentral:tRNA from 1 species